CAAUAGCGUAUAUUAAAGUUGUUGCAGUUAAAAAGCUCGUAGUUGGAUUUCUGAUCGAGACAUCAGGUCGGGUCCGAGAGGAUCAUGUACUUUGAUUUUGUUUUGAUCAUCCUUGGGGAGAGCAUUUCUGGCAUUCAGUUGUCGGGAUUGGGAUCCUCAUCGUUUACUGUGAAAAAAUUAGAGUGUUCAAAGCAGGCCUCGGCCUCUGAAUACAUUAGCAUGGAAUAAUAAGAUAGGACUUUGGUGGUCUAUUUUGUUGGUUUGCACGCCAAAGUAACGAUUAAUAGGGAUAGUUGGGGGUAUUCGUAUUCAAUUGUCAGAGGUGAAAUUCUUGGAUUUAUGGAAGACGAACUACUGCGAAAGCAUUUACCAAGGAUGUUUUCAUUAA
rnacentral:rRNA from 1 species